rnacentral:lncRNA from 1 species
UUCAUUCUUAGUCCCAUAUCCAUGUUCCUUUCUCUUGUUCUAUAUUCCCUAUCCUAAAUUCUCCCUUGUCAUUGUUCUUGUCUCUCAUUCCUUAUCUCCUAAUAUUUCUUGUAGGCAAUUAACAUAAAUUAUCACACUUUGUUUCCAAUUCUUCUAAGUUCUCUACAUUAUAAUUAAUUGACUAGUUUCAUUUUUACAUUGAAACCUAGGAUAUUAUGACUCCUC